rnacentral:rRNA from 1 species
UACGAAGGGAGCUAGCGUUGUUCGGAAUCACUGGGCGUAAAGCGCACGUAGGCGGAUGUGUCAGUCAGGGGUGAAAUCCCGGAGCUCAACUUCGGAACUGCCUUUGAUACAGCACGUCUUGAGUCCGAUAGAGGUGGGUGGAAUUCCUAGUGUAGAGGUGAAAUUCGUAGAUAUUAGGAAGAACACCGGUGGCGAAGGCGGCCCACUGGAUCGGUACUGACGCUGAGGUGCGAAAGCGUGGGGAGAAAACAGG